rnacentral:rRNA from 1 species
CCUACGGGUGGCAGCAGUGGGGAAUAUUGGUCAAUGGACGAAAGCCUGAACCAGCAAAGUCGCGUGAAGGAUGACUGCCCUAUGGGUUGUAAACUUCUUUUAUAUGGGAAUAAAAUGUUACACGUGUGGGAUUUUGUAUGUACCUUAUGAAUAAGGAUCGGCUAACUCCGUGCCAGCAGCCGAGGUAAUACGGAGGGUCCGAGCGUGAUCCGGAUUUAUUGGGUUGAAAGGGAGCGUUGGUGGAUGGUUAAGUCAGUUGUGAAAGUUUGCGGCUCAAACGUAAAAUUGCAGUUGAAACUGGCAGUCUUGAGGACAGUAGAGGUGGGCGGAAUUCGUGGUGUAGCGGUGAAAUGCGUAGAUAUCACGAAGAACUCCGAUUGCGAAGGCAGCUCACUGGACUGCAACUGACACUGAGGCACGAAAGUGUGGGUAUCAAACAGGAUUAGAUACCCGGGUAGUC